UUUUUAUAACACUACAGUCUAUUGGGGAAAAUGAGUAUGUUAAAACCGGUCACUCAGAGAUUUAUAGUUUUUUGAGGCACUUCAUGAUCAUUUUGAAGCCCCAAUUUGUGUAGGGCUUCAAAUUAACACCACAGACACUGAUAACAGGUGCUGCCAUGCAUCUCAGAUUUAACAUUGUUAAACGAUUGCCUUUAAAAAAGAAAGGAAACCAUUAUUCCUUUUCAACUUCCUCUGCCUGCAUCAAGAACCAACACUAGCCUCUGAAGAUCGAGUGGCCUAAAUAUUCAAGCAGAGAUUAACAAACCCAAAUGACAACAACAAUUACCAAUGGCAGGUGUUAGCUCCUUUCAAUUUCAAUUUGUUUUGACAGUUAUUAUCAUUUUCCCAAACAUUAAAUAUAACACCGCUUUUUAAGAAUAUGGCCAGUAUAUGUGUACGUGCUAUUUGAAUCUGUGACUCCAAACCAAAGUAUUUAUUAGAUACGUGUAUUAUGUCAUUCAACUGAAUAAAGUGUCAUUGAAAGAGUACUAACAUAUUGAAUUAUAUAUAGCAUGCAUUUUGAAUAAUACAAUGUGUAUAACUCAUCCCUACAUAUGUAUAUAUAGUAUCUUGAUAUAAUGUAGCUAAACCUUUGCUAUGAAUGUACAUGUAAUCAGCGCUUUGCAGUUUGGAUCUUGGGCGCCUCAUGUAUGUUAAUCUAACAAUAAAACUGUUAAGUAAUAGAUGUAUUUCUGUGUCCAAUUCGAUGUAUACAAUAAUACAAGUCUCUCACAAAAGGAAAACAUGUUUAAGAGAAAGUUGAGUUCUGGGAAGAGGUGAAAAAUAAUUUGUGAGCGUUAUCAUUCUUAUUAUGCAAGUGUGGAAGAACAUCAGAUAAGACACGUUCCCUGAAAAGCAUGGCUCUUCAAAUGCCUUCAUAUUCUAAAUAUCUCAUGUAACAUCGUAACAAUCCGGGUAGGAUUUUUACGCCACGUGUUUGUGUAGUCCCAUAUACAUCUUUCUGUGUACAGUGUUUGUAACUCUACCAAGACUGGGCCAAAUUUCUUAUCAUUUGAUGAUUCCAGAACCUUGCAAUACACACAAAUUCUUAUAUGCUAGAUGAUCAACCUUUUCUGGUCGAUUCCACAACGUUUCUUUCGCAAUGCAAUCGCAUGACCAGAACUCAACUUCAUUUUAAUAUCUGUUUAAAAUGUGACUGGUAACCCCAAAUCAUGUCUGAAAUAUUUGAAAUAUAUCAUGUCUUACAUGUAAAUAUUUAAAUGAUGAGAAGUAUAUAUUCCUAAUGCUUACAACUAGCCACUACUCCAGUCCUUGCAAGAUGUACCAUGGACGGCAUAUUCAGUAUUUAUCAGUCUCAUCAGCAGCGCUUUUGUCUUUGAUUAGGCAAAUAGAUAUUGGUGCUCUACUAAUUGAAUCCUGGAUUGGAUCAGAAAGAGAGUUUCCCCCCUUUUUAAUCUCUACAUAUGUAUGUUUUGCUGACCAUUUCUGAUGGCAUGGAAACUAUAAAUUUAGAAUAGUAACCGCGAGUCAUUUUUCCAAAAGUUUUUACUGUAACUAUGACUACCGGUAUAACAAUAUGGAGUAGCCCCGCCCAGUUGUGUUAAUAUUAAGUCGGUGCUUUCCAUGUUCUUUAUUUUUGAUAGCUCAAAAAAAUGUGUCUUUCAAACUUGUUAUACAGUUUUUCUGUUAUUGUUAUGCUUGUCAAUGUUAAAUUAAUAUACAGUGGAACCUUGUUAUAAAGAACAUUGAUGUACAUGUAUUUGUAAAAAGGUAUUGUUAUAGCUAUUUCAUAUAAACUAUGCCGUUGUUUUGGUUUUCUUUUUUGUUGGUUUGUUUAAUAACAAGGUAAUUAAUUUCCUUGGUUCCAAACUAAUUCAGUCAAACUUGAUGCAAGGACUAAAGUCAUGUUAUAAACCCUAGUUUGACCUCAGUGUCAGUUUUAUUAUUCUGUAUUACAAUGCAGAUCAAGGCUUUUAAGGUUCAGCUUCAUGAUGAUGCUGCAAGUCGGUGCAAAUAUUAACAAUGGACAUUCAUUUUGUAAAUGUAUUAUUUUUUUUUGGUGUAUAUAUGUAAACAGUGAAUAUCAGUUAUUGUACAUGUACCGGCAUGUGUAUUUAGUAAUAUGUAUAUUUUCUUAUAUGAUCAUUUAUGUUAAUAUAUAUCUGUACCUUGUAUACAAAUAUUAAUAUACUGUACAUGGAAACAUUA